UAAAAAAGAAAAGUUUUUGUUCAUUCUCUCAAACUCAGUCAACCGCUCAUAUUCCCUCUCUCUCUCUCUCUCUCUCUCAAUGUCACAUAUCUUGUUACCACUCUGUUUGUUUUUUCGGAAAUCAGCGACGGCUGGCUAGUGGUUGCAUCGAAGGAUGUGGCUGGGGGGGUCGACAACAAUGAUGAUGCUUUCUCCCCGUGGUUGGCGACCUCAGAUUUGUGGUGCUCUCUCCGUGGCUGGUGGGCUAAGAUAUGGCAGCGCACUCUCCGUCAGGGUCAGGAUCCUUGGGGUUGGGACUGGUUGUGGCUGGGGCUUGAGGAGGGGUGCGACAGACUGUGCCGCGGCGGGCGCGAUGUCGAGGGUGGUGUUAAGAUCUUGGCGACAAAGUCUUUUGGCGGCGAGGAGUCGAUGGGUGAAAUCUUCUGAUAACCUCUUGUUGUCGAUGGGGAAUCUGAAUAUAUGGCUAUUCUACUUUAUUUAGUGCUCACAAAAAAAUUAUAUGGGCCAAUAUGUAUAUAUAUGACUUGCGUUUGUACAAUAGCAUUUUUUUAGCUGAUAAAGAACAAAUGCAUAAUAUUCAGUUGAAUAUAAAAGAAAUGGAAAUUGCAUAUGUGUGUUGUUAUAUAUGUAAUCAAUAUUAAUCAAAAUUUUCUGGAAUGAAUAAAUUUUUGGCUAGAGAGAAUUGUUUUGCUCUGUUCUGUUCUGUUGUUUCAUUAGUCAAUUGCAUUUAUAAUGAGUUCGUUUCUUCAAUUAUCUUCUUGUUUUUUUUAUGUCAUAAUAAAAUUAUAAUUAAAACUUACAAUUUAAUUUUGAUCUGAUGCGUUAGAAGUUCAUUACUGUUGGGAAAAUUUUAGAUGAAUCCCACUUGAAAUAAUGCUCUUUCUCUUUGUUAUAAGGGUACAAGCUAGAGUUUGAUUAUAUAUAUGUAUAUAUAUAUAUAUGCAAAUUAAUAUGAAUGACUUUUCUUAAUAUUAAUGCAGAAACUAAGUGCAACUUAUAGAACAUCUUUACAAAUGUUCAUAUAUAUCGCAAUGCAGCGUUUAAUCAAUAGUAUACAUUGUUUGUACUAUUUAAUAUGCAAACAUGAAUGACUUUCUUAAUAUUAAUGACUUUUUGUUUUUGGUUUCCUAGUUUCAGUUCUUUAUAUUUUGCAGGUCACUGGUAGGCCUCAACAACUUGUAUCAUGAAGCAUUUACUUCCCUGUGUUAGAAUUAACUUAAUAUUAUUAAUUGUGGUUUAUUAUUUGGUUAAAAUUUUUAGGAUUGAGAAAUAAAUAUGGAAUUUAUUGGUUGGGAACCUGUUCUUUCUUGUUAUCUACUGGGUUGUUGAGUAUUUGCAUCUAUCCAAACGAUUUGAAGCAGUUAUUUUUUUCCAGUCGUUUUUUUGGUUUCAAAGAACAGUUUGCAGCUUAAGCUACAUUUGUGCCUCCAAUAUACAUAUAGAGGCAUUAUAUAUACACUAUACACGUAUUUAUAUUUAAUUGACAAGAUCGAAAAUGGUGUUAUAAUAACUUUGAGCUUUCCUUUCGUAGUUGGUUUGAAUAUAAAUUAAUUAGUGAGUUUCAUGAUGUAUUUAUGGUUUGAAUAGAAAAAUGAGUCAUCAUCAAUUGGUGUUAUAAUAACAUUUAUAAAUUUGUGUUUAAAGAAAGUGUGUUUUUUUAUGAAAAUGACUUCAAUCUCAUGUACGUCAAUUAGUUUCUGUUCGACAGUCUGCCCUCUCCACCAAGUAACUGUGCCUCUGGCUGGCCUUCUACAGCUCUGCGCUUCUUUUCUUCCCCUGCUCAGCCCCAUAGAUCGCACACUAAGUUUCCUUUCCUCAAAAUAUUUACCCAAAUGACAUCAGCAUGAUGGGAUGAAGACAUACACUUGAGAAAACAAUGAGACUUGAAGUUAAUGGGCAACAAAGUUUCUUUGAGGGGAUGAGUUGCAACUAGAGUAAUAUAUUAGUUGUUAUAUAAAAAAUGAAACUUGUUUUAAAUAUGUGUUGUUUCAAAUUACAAUGUAUCAUAGGGUAUCCGCUGAGUAUUAUUGAAAACAUAAGGUACGUAUGUAUUUCGAUAAAACACAAAGUACGUACUGAAUGAGUACUUACCUUUCAUUUAAUUAAUUAGGAUUUUAUUGGUUAUAA